rnacentral:rRNA from 1 species
UACGGGGGGGGCAAGCGUUGUUCGGAAUUACUGGGCGUAAAGGGCGCGUAGGCGGUUCGCUAAGUCGGAUGUGAAAACUCUGGGCUCAACCCAGAGCCUGCAUCCGAAACUGGCGGGCUAGAGUUCUGGAGGGGGUAGCGGAAUUCCUGGUGUAGCAGUGAAAUGCGUAGAUAUCGUGAGGAACACCAGAGGCGAAGGCGGUUACCUGGACAGUUACUGACGCUCAGGCACGAAAGCAUGGGGAGCAAAAGGG